GUAGGGAAUAUUGCUCAAUGGGGGAAACCCUGAAGCAGCAACGCCGCGUGGAGGAUGAAGGUUUUCGGAUUGUAAACUCCUUUUGUUAGAGAAGAUAAUGACGGUAUCUAACGAAUAAGCACCGGCUAACUCCGUGCCAGCAGCCGCGGUAAUACGGAGGGUGCAAGCGUUACUCGGAAUCACUGGGCGUAAAGAGCGCGUAGGCGGGGUAGCAAGUCAGAUGUGAAAUCCUAUGGCUUAACUAUAGAACUGCAUUUGAAACUGUUACUCUAGAGUAUGGGAGAGGUAGGUGGAAUUCUUGGUGUAGGGGUAAAAUCCGUAGAGAUCAAGAGGAAUACUCAUUGCGAAGGCGACCUGCUGGAACAUUACUGACGCUGAUGCGCGAAAGCGUGGGGAGCAAACAGGAUUAGAAACCCUAGUAGUCC
rnacentral:rRNA from 1 species